rnacentral:rRNA from 1 species
GGGUUGUGAGGUUAAGCGACUAAGCGUACACGGUGGAUGCCCUGGCAGUCAGAGGCGAUGAAGGGCGUGCUAAUCUGCGAUAAGCGCCGGUAAGGUGAUAUGAACCGUUAUAACCGGCGAUACCCGAAUGGGGAAACCCAGUGUGAUUCGUCACACUAUCAUUAACUGAAUCCAUAGGUUAAUGAGGCGAACCGGGGGAACUGAAACAUCUAAGUACCCCGAGGAAAAGAAAUCAACCGAGAUUCCCCCAGUAGCGGCGAGCGAACGGGGAGGAGCCCAGAGCCUGAAUCAGCAUGUGUGUUAGUGGAAGCGUCUGGAAAGGCGCGCGAUACAGGGUGACAGCCCCGUACACAAAAGCGCAUGUGCUGUGAGCUCGAUGAGUAGGGCGGGACACGUGGUAUCCUGUCUGAAUAUGGGGGGACCAUCCUCCAAGGCUAAAUACUCCUGACUGACCGAUAGUGAACCAGUACCGUGAGGGAAAGGCGAAAAGAACCCCGGCGAGGGGAGUGAAAAAGAACCUGAAACCGUGUACGUACAAGCAGUGGGAGCCCCACCACUAAGCCAGUGGUGAACUCCACAUACGCAUCCUUUGCUGAGGAUACGGUUAACGGAGCGAAAGCGACGUUCAACCUCAAAAGAAGCAGAGGGGGCUUAGUGGUGGGGUGACUGCGUACCUUUUGUAUAAUGGGUCAGCGACUUAUAUUCUGUAGCAAGGUUAACCGAAUAGGGGAGCCGGAGGGAAACCGAGUCUUAAUUGGGCGUUAAGUUGCAGGGUAUAGACCCGAAACCCGGUGAUCUAGCCAUGGGCAGGUUGAAGGUUGGGUAACACUAACUGGAGGACCGAACCGAC